ACUCCUGCCUGGACUGAUUGCUUAGGCACAAGACCUCUGAGCAUUCUCUGCCUGGAAAACCCCGGAAAGGAUGGCCGUAAAGUUGGAAUUGUCUUGACGGCAUGCAACUAUUAUUAUAUUUCCCAGUCAAGAAUGUAUUGCAAGUUAUGGAUUUUCUUAGGCUAAGCAACCAGAUUUUAGCUGUUGUUUAUAAUGCUGUUGAUUCUUACAGCUUUAAAAAAAAUUGCAACUCUUGAGAAAGACAUCCAUGAUGACAAUCCAUUGUGCGUGCAUCUGUUUAUCCAGGUCCUGGAACAUAAUGGAGUUUCACAAAGACACCAAUGUCUGGCCCUUUGCAAUCCAAUUGGACAUGUCUAGUCAUUUCCACUUGCUAAGGACAUUAAGCUCCACCUGCAGAAAUGUUGUGUGGAGGCUUGAAGGUGCCAGAACCCAGUUGACCACCUCUGUGGUCACGUAGCAACAGCGCUUCAUGAACUGUCUCCACAACCUAUCAUGUUUCCAGAAGUAAAUGAAUAUUCUUAGGGAAGCCAUCAUAAAAGUGAUUCUCUUUAAGCCAUUCCUUCCUCUCACUGGAGCCCUUAGAAAUAAUGAUGGCUUGCUUUUGUCUGCAAUUUGGAGCCAGUUAAAUUUAGUUCCUGGACAGAAGGGUUUUUUUUAUGUAAAUUGUCUGCGACAGCUCAUAAUAACAUGGCUUGGUGUUUUUCAGGCAGCAACAACCCAAGCCAGUCAAUGUCUCCAGGCCUUUGGAAUGCAGGUCUUUGCAAAUCGGAAAAACAAGCGGAAUUACCCCGGAGGUGGUUCUUUCAGGAAACCACCUCUGUCUUCCUCUAGUGGGAAAGUCCUCAAAACCGGGCAAAGCCUUUUACAGCUAAAAGUGAAAGGGGCCUCGCAGACUUUGGCUCGGCAGCCGCUCGGAGGCACGCCAGCGUUGCCACCGUCAUCCUGGGCAUGAUCGUCAUUCAUCUGGAAGCGCAUGCUGUUUAUAUUUUUCAAAGCUCCCACCUCCCACCGAGUGUUUAACACGUCUGUUGGGCUCGCUUGUAGUGUCCUAAUAAUUUUCUGCUAGCGGAACAACACCGGCCGGCAUUCCUUCUUCAUUAGCAUAGCUUUUCCGUUUCCUGCCUCUUUUUCUCUCCCCAAGAGUGAGCAUUUUGUUUCUCCUGGAUGUUUUAAAUGGAGGCAAAAUUGAUUCUUGCAUUUGCUUAGGUUAUGUGUAGGAUAUAUUAUGCCAGUAGAAAUUAUUAAUUUUCCUGUAGGGAGACGCCAAUGCUCAAGGCGCUGAUUGACAAAUCAAUAAAUCUUUACUGAGUUUGGUAAAUAAGCUGUCA
rnacentral:lncRNA from 1 species